rnacentral:rRNA from 1 species
GACGAACGCUGGCGGCGUGCCUAAUACAUGCAAGUAGAACGCUGAAGCGAGGAGCUUGCUCUUCUUGGAUGAGUUGCGAACGGGUGAGUAACGCGUAGGUAACCUGCCUUGUAGCGGGGGAUAACUAUUGGAAACGCUAGCUAAUACCGCAUAACAAUGAAUGACACAUGUCAUUUAUUUGAAAGGGGCAAUUGCUCCACUACAAGAUGGACCUGCGUUGUAUUAGCUAGUAGGUGAGGUAAUGGCUCACCUAGGCGACGGUACAUAGCCGACCUGAGAGGGUGAUCGGCCACACUGGGACGGAGACACGGCCCAGACUCCUACGGGAGGCAGCAGUAGGGAAUCUUCGGCAAUGGGGGCAACCCUGACCGAGCAACGCCGCGUGAGUGAAGAAGGUUUUCGGAUCGUAAAGCUCUGUUGUAAGUCAAGAACGGGUGUGAGAGUGGAAAGUUCACACUGUGACGGUAGCUGACCAGAAAGGGACGGCUAACUACGUG